AGACAGUUUAAUAUAAUGAAGGACAGGCAGUUUAAUAUAUUGCAAUGAGAAGGUCCAAUGUCCUGAUUAAUAAGAAGAGUCAUGGGAAAUGUGCAAUACAAUGCAAAAAGACUUUAAUAAAUUCCAGAAGCUCACACAUACAUAAACAAAACAUUUAUAUACAGUUUUUCUUCACAUAAUUGGCAAAUCAAAGUUAAUUACAAAGAGUAAUGUAAGGAGCAUAUUGUACUUCACAUUGAAUAAAAGUGAGGUUGGUAUUCCAUCGUCAUCUGUCUCCCAUACAACAGAAGCUGUCUUGUCUCAUAUAUUCAUGUAUGUUUUUUUUUCUCUCUUUUCUCCCGAAGAUCGGGUACAUCUAAUGAUGAUUGCAGUGCUAAGAUGCUCUGUAUAGUUCACACUGUGUUUCUACUCAGUAGUGUUACAUUUGAUACCAUAAUUACAUCUGAUACCUUCUCCAAGAAACGAUUUGAAUCAUUAGGAAGGUAUCGUAUAUGUGCCACACAUACUGUACAUACAGCCUCGUCUACCAAAGCAGUCUCUAUCAUAAGACAACCGUUAAACAUCAUGACUAUUAACAACAGUGCUAACCCACCAAGCUGUUUAUUAGUGUAGUAUUGAAGAUAGUAAUUAAGAUCAGGACAUGACUCCAAGUGUUUACGCAAUGCAGUAGAGGCAUAUAUUUGUUGUGGAUACCAAACCAGAAACCAAAAGAUUCUUCUCUCUUCCUAAAGUCACCUUAUUGCUGCUAAUAAAUGGAAGCCUGCUGAACGCUGAACGACCUACCCGUGUAGGUGUUCAAGGUUUAUUCCUCCUAAUUUCAAUGGAAUAAAUAAUGCGUCAUAUAUAAAUUAGUGCACGAGAAGAGAAAAAGAACAAACAAAAAAAGUUUGCAUUAUUAUUAUUUUUGCUUCAGACCAACCAAGUGGUAUCAACGAACUGCCUGAGUUUUACCAUUUGGAAUAUUCAUUUUAAAUUCGUAACACUAUAUCUCACAGGUUAGAUCGGCUGUCUCGCUGACUCCGAUACACUAAGGUUAAACCAUGGUGCUCUACUGUCUCACUGACUCCGAUACACUAAGGUUAAUCCAUGGUGCUCUACUGUGGAGCUGACUCCGAUACACUAAGGUUAAACCAUGGUGCUCUACUGUCUCACUGACUCCGAUACACUAAGGUUAAACCAUGGUGCUCUACUGUCUCACUGACUCCGAUACACUAAGGUUAAACCAUGGUGCUCUACUGUCUCACUGACUCCGAUACACUAAGGUUAAACCAUGGUGCUCUACUGUCUCACUGACUCCGAUACACUAAGGUUAAUCCAUGGUGCUCUAUUGUGGAGCUGACUCCGAUACACUAAGGUUAAACCAUGGUGCUCUACUGUGGAGCUGACUCCGAUACACUAAGGUUAAACCAUGGUGCUCUACUGUGGAGCUGACUCCGAUACACUAAGGUUAAACCAUGGUGCUCUACUGUGGAGCUGACUCCGAUACACUAAGGUUAAACCAUGGUGCUCUACUGUGGAGCUGACUCCGAUACACUAAGGUUAAACCAUGGUGCUCUACUGUCUCACUGACUCCGAUACACUAAGGUUAAACCAUGGUGCUCUACUGUGGAGCUGACUCCGAUACACUAAGGUUAAUCCAUGGUGCUCUACUGUGGAGCUGACUCCGAUACACUAAGGUUAAACCAUGGUGCUCUACUGUCUCGCUGACUCCGAUACACUAAGGUUAAACCAUGGUGCUCUACUGUCUCGCUGACUCCGAUACACUAAGGUUAAACCAUGGUGCUCUACUGUCUCGCUGACUCCGAUACACUAAGGUUAAACCAUGGUGCUCUACUGUCUCACUGACUCCGAUACACUAAGGUUAAUCCAUGGUGCUCUACUGUGGAGCUGACUCCGAUACACUAAGGUUAAACCAUGGUGCUCUACUGUCUCGCUGACUCCGAUACACUAAGGUUAAACCAUGGUGCUCUACUGUCUCGCUGACUCCGAUACACUAAGGUUAAACCAUGGUGCUCUACUGUCUCGCUGACUCCGAUACACUAAGGUUAAACCAUGGUGCUCUACUGUCUCGCUGACUCCGAUACACUAAGGUUAAACCAUGGUGCUCUACUGUGGAGCUGACUCCAAUACACUAAGGUUAAACCAUGGUGCUCUACUGUGGAGCUGUCUCACUGACUCCGAUACACUAAGGUUAAUCCAUGGUGCUCUACUGUCUCGCUGACUCCGAUACACUAAGGUUAAACCAUGGUGCUCUACUGUGGAGCUGUCUCGCUGACUCCGAUACACUAAGGUUAAACCAUGGUGCUCUACUGUCUCGCUGACUCCGAUACACUAAGGUUAAACCAUGGUGCUCUACUGUCUCACUGACUCCGAUACACUAAGGUUAAACCAUGGUGCUCUACUGUGGAGCUGACUCCAAUACACUAAGGUUAAACCAUGGUGCUCUACUGUGGAGCUGUCUCACUGACUCCGAUACACUAAGGUUAAUCCAUGGUGCUCUACUGUCUCGCUGACUCCGAUACACUAAGGUUAAACCAUGGUGCUCUACUGUCUCACUGACUCCGAUACACUAAGGUUAAACCAUGGUGCUCUACUGUGGAGCUGACUCCGAUACACUAAGGUUAAACCAUGGUGCUCUACUGUCUCACUGACUCCGAUACACUAAGGUUAAACCAUGGUGCUCUACUGUGGAGCUGACUCCGAUACACUAAGGUUAAACCAUGGUGCUCUACUGUCUCACUGACUCCGAUACACUAAGGUUAAUCCAUGGUGCUCUACUGUGGAGCUGACUCCGAUACACUAAGGUUAAACCAUGGUGCUCUACUGUGGAGCUGACUCCGAUACACUAAGGUUAAACCAUGGUGCUCUACUGUGGAGCUGACUCCGAUACACUAAGGUUAAACCAUGGUGCUCUACUGUGGAGCUGACUCCGAUACACUAAGGUUAAACCAUGGUGCUCUACUGUGGAUCUGUCUCGCUGACUCUAACUGACGGGGCGGCAGGUAGCCUAGUGGUUAGUGCGUUGGACUAGUAACUGAUAGGCUUGGACGAUCGAAUCCCCGAGCUGACAAUCUGUCGUUCUGCCUCUGAACAAGGCAGUUAACCCACUGUUCCUGGGCUGUCAUUGGAAAUAAUAAUUUGUUCUUAAAACUGACUUUCCUAUUUGAAUAAAGAUACAAAAAAACAUGGUGCUCUGCUAUGAAGCUGUCUAUAACUGACUCUAGUACAGGUUAAACCAUGGUGCUCUGCUAUGAAGCUGUCUAACUGACUCUAGUACAGGUUAAAUCAUGGUGCUCUGCUAUGAAGCUGUCUAUAACUGACUCUAGUACAGGUUAAACCAUGGUGCUCUGCUAUGAAGCUGUCUAACUGACUCUAGUACAGGUUAAACCAUGGUGCUCUGCUAUGAAGCUGUCUAACUGACUCUAGUACAGGUUAAAUCAUGGUGCUCUGCUAUGAAGCUGUCUAUAACUGACUCUAGUACAGGUUAAACCAUGGUGCUCUGCUAUGAAGCUGUCUAACUGACUCUAGUACAGGUUAAACCAUGGUGCUCUGCUAUGAAGCUGUCUAACUGACUCUAGUACAGGUUAAACCAUGGUGCUCUGCUAUGAAGCUGUCUAUCUGACUCUAGUACAGGUUAAAUCAUGGUGCUCUGCUAUGAAGCUGUCUAUAACUGACUCUAGUACAGGUUAAACCAUGGUGCUCUGCUAUGAAGCUGUCUAACUGACUCUAGUACAGGUUAAACCAUGGUGCUCUGCUAUGAAGCUGUCUAACUGACUCUAGUACAGGUUAAACCAUGGUGCUCUGCUAUGAAGCUGUCUAUCUGACUCUAGUACAGGUUAAAUCAUGGUGCUCUGCUAUGAAGCUGUCUAUAACUGACUCUAGUACAGGUUAAACCAUGGUGCUCUGCUAUGAAGCUGUCUAACUGACUCUAGUACAGGUUAAAUCAUGGUGCUCUGCUAUGAAGCUGUCUAACUGACUCUAGUACAGGUUAAACCAUGGUGCUCUGCUAUGAAGCUGUCUAACUGACUCUAGUACAGGUUAAACCAUGGUGCUCUGCUAUGAAGCUGUCUAUCUGACUCUAGUACAGGUUAAAUCAUGGUGCUCUGCUAUGAAGCUGUCUAUCUGACUCUAGUACAGGUUAAACCAUGGUCCUCUUUUAUGAACCAAGCCAUUCCGUCCCUUGUGAUUGUGGCUCAAAGUAGUAAACUCUAUUAUGAGGUACAAUUCCCUACUGUCCCACGGUGACAAUCGGUAGACAAUGUGGUGUUCCAGUCCAGUGGGCCAUGCAUGCACUUGCCACACUCUUCAGUACUAACAGUUAGCUGUGGUGUUCCAGUCCAGUGGGCCAUAUAUAUUAACACUAGCCACGCUCUUCACUGCUAACACUAACUGUGGCACUGUAAGUGUAUGGGAUGAUACGAGGUGAUCAUUGACAUAAAAGUACAGAACAGUCACAUAGUAGGCCUAUUAGCAGUAGGCCAAUUUGCUGUAGGCCUAUUAGCAGUAGGCCAAUUUGCUGUAGGCCUAUUAGCAGUAGGCCAAUUUGCUGUAGGCCUAUUAGCAGUAGGC